CCUACGGGUGGCUGCAGUGGGGAAUAUUGCGCAAUGGGGGCAACCCUGACGCAGCAACGCCGCGUGAAGGAAGAAGGCCUUCGGGUUGUAAACUUCUUUGAUCGGGGACGAAACUGACGGUACCCGAGGAACAAGCCACGGCUAACUACGUGCCAGCAGCCGCGGUAAUACGUAGGUGGCAAGCGUUGUCCGGAAUUACUGGGCGUAAAGGGCGUGUAGGCGGGGCGGCAAGUCAGGUGUGAAAUCCCGGGGCUUAACUCCGGAGCUGCAUCUGAAACUGCUGUUCUUGAGUGCUGGAGAGGGAAGCGGAAUUCCUAGUGUAGCGGUGGAAUGCGUAGAUAUUAGGAGGAACACCAGUGGCGAAGGCGGCUUCCUGGACUGUAACUGACGCUGAGGCACGAAAGCUGGGGUAGCGAACAGGAUUAGAUACCCCGGUAGUC
rnacentral:rRNA from 1 species